GAGGGACCUCUGACCUACAGGUUUACCAGCUGGACCUCAGCAUGCAGGCUGAGGUGGAAGAAAGGGUACAGGCCAUGGUGGAAAGGUCCAGUCUGCUUUCCCAACGUCUAGUGAGUACAGGACAGGUUUCCUCAGGUCUCCACUCGAGUCUCCCUGUCAGCUUCGCCCCAGUACCACCACCCACCUACUCCCAGGAGGCAAGUCUGUUGCUGGUUGAGGAGCUGCACUUCUGGCCCCUCAACAGCAUGCUCCUCCUCCCCCGGGCAAACUCCUGUUCUCGCUUCAAGAUCUUGUUCAUGGAGCCUCUGUGGUCUCUUGGCAGCAGGGUCAUAGAUGACCCUCAAGAAAGGGACCAGCUAGAACUGGGAGUCCAUGAGUGGUGCUCAGGAAAGCGGUAAUAUGGAGGUUGUCCAGGAAAGUAGUCUUCAGGAGAGAUGCUGGGACAUGGACAUGGAGACACGUACAGGUCCUGGAGAAAAUGGCUCAACUGGAGCUAGGCUAGGGCUGGGGCUGGCUGCAAUACCUCUGUGUACAUAUCUGUUGGCUUUCUCCCAGGCUGCAGAAUCUAACAGCAGCUCCAUGUUCAGCAGAGUCUCAUGUCCUCAGGUCUACCCAAUAGAGCAGGGCUUCUCUUAUAUAACGGGGAUCCUGAGAUAUAAGCUGGGGACCUGCCCAAGGCCAUAUGCCCAAUCAGAGAAGACAGGACUCUGAGGAGUAAACUUCUGGGCCCCUGUCCGGGGAGGAUCUUGGUCCAGGCUCUGUGCUGAGCAGAAGGGCUUCUUUCCCUAUGAGGAUUCAGACCUCCUCACCCACUCACCAACACUUAGAGGCCGCAAUCCUGGAAGGCCUCUUUGGGUCCCAGGAGUGAUGGAGGGGACUAUGGGACCUCAGCCAGGUUGGCUACCCGCCCUGAGGUCUGUGCCCAAGCCUGGGCCUCACUGGCUCUAACUGGCUGCUCCCCCAGGCUUCCUAACAGGUAAAUAGGGUGGGGCAGGGCAUGGGGUAGCUCAGCCAGUGGCCCUGUCCUUCAAGCAUGGUAGUCUUUAGGGCUGGGUGGGGCUAAAUGAGGGCACAGGAGGCCCAGGAUCAAGCAGAAGGCAGCCACCCUGAGGUGCCCAUGCAGGUGGCACCAGUGGGUUCCUUGGAGCUGGGACUCAGGUCCUUUGGGAAAGGAGCUCUUGUAGUGCCUACAGUGGCUACAUUCACUACAUUUGUUGUCCUCUGGGUCACACCCAGGCCAGGGGAGUUCUACAACUGGAGGAAGCUCAUCCCUAAAGGCCUGGUAGUUAAGACCCUGCCCCUGCGUGCCUUCAGCUAUAGGCUGUCCUGACUAUGGCUGCCUGGGGCCUGGCCAAGGACAGUGAAGGGCAGCCCCUGUCAUCCUGGCCUCUUGGAGGCAUGAGGGGCUUGGUCC
rnacentral:lncRNA from 1 species